rnacentral:rRNA from 1 species
CCUACGGGAGGCAGCAGUGGGGAAUUUUCCGCAAUGGGCGAAAGCCUGACGGAGCAAUACCGCGUGAGGGAGGAAGGCUCUUGGGUCGUAAACCUCUUUUCUCUGGGAAGAUAAUGACGGUACCAGAGGAAUAAGCAUCGGCUAACUCCGUGCCAGCAGCCGCGGUAAUACGGAGGAUGCAAGCGUUAUCCGGAAUGAUUGGGCGUAAAGAGUCCGUAGGUGGUACAGAAAGUCUGUGGUUAAAGCGCGAAGCUCAACUUCGUAAAGGCCAUGGAAACUGCUGAACUAGAGUGAGAUAGGGGUAGAGGGAAUUCUUGGUGUAGCGGUGAAAUGCGUAGAUAUCAAGAAGAACACCGGUGGCGAAAGCGCUCUACUGGAUCUUAACUGACACUGAGGGACGAAAGCUAGGGGAGCGAAAGGGAUUAGAUACCCCUGUAGUCCUAGCCGUAAACGAUGGAUACUAGUUGUUGCGGGUAUCGACCCCUGCAGUGACGAAGCUAACGCGUUAAGUAUCCCGCCUGGGGAGUACGCACGCAAGUGUGAAACUCAAAUGAAUUGACGGCNGAGAGNGCGAGACGACACGAGGAGAG